rnacentral:tRNA from 1 species
GCCGGCAUGGCUUAGUGGUUGAGCAUCAACCUAUGAACCAGGAGAUCACGGUUCGAUUCCUUGUGAGGGCA